rnacentral:rRNA from 2 species
UCGGUGUUAAUAUACGACCCGACUAGCAGCUUCCGGGAAACCAAAGUUUUUCGUUUCCGGGGGAAGUAUGGUUGCAAAGCUGAAACUUAAAGGAAUUGACGGAAGGGCACCACCAGGAGUGGAGCCUGCGGCUUAAUUUGACUCAACACGGGAAAACUCACCCGGCCCGGACACCGUAAGGAUUGACAGACUGAGAGCUCUUUCUUAAUUCGGUGGGUGGUGGUGCAUGGCCGUUCUUAGUUGGUGGAGCGAUUUGUCUGGUUAAUUCCGAUAACGAACGAGACUCUGGCCUAUUAAAUAGUCGGUAUAUCCGGAAAAGUUUACCGUACUUCUUAGAGGGACAAACGGCGUCUAGCCGCGUGAAAUAGAGCAAUAACAGGUCUGUGAUGCCCUUAGAUGUCCGGGGCUGCACGCGCGCUACACUGAAAGAAUCAGUAUGCGCUUUAACCUAGUCCGGAAGGAUUGGGUAACCCGAGCAAAUUCUUUCGUGCUUGGGAUAGGGAAUUGCAAUUAUUUCCCUUAAACGAGGAAUUCCCAGUAAAUGCGGGUCAUAAGCUCGCGUUGAUUACGUC